GAUGAACGCUGGCGGCGUGCCUAAUACAUGCAAGUCGGGCGAACAGAUAAGGAGCUUGCUCCUUUGACGUUAGCGGCGGACGGGUGAGUAACACGUGGGUAACCUACCUAUAAGACUGGAAUAACUCCGGGAAACCGGGGCUAAUGCAGGAUAACAUGUUGAACCGCAUGGUUCUACAGUGAAAGGCGGCUUUGCUGUCACUUAUAGAUGGACCCGCGCCGUAUUAGCUAGUUGGUGAGGUAACGGCUCACCAAGGCAACGAUACGUAGCCGACCUGAGAGGGUGAUCGGCCACACUGGAACUGAGACACGGUCCAGACUCCUACGGGAGGCAGCAGUAGGGAAUCUUCCGCAAUGGGCGAAAGCCUGACGGAGCAACGCCGCGUGAGUGAUGAAGGUCUUCGGAUCGUAAAACUCUGUUAUUAGGGAAGAACAAAUGCGUAAGUAACUGUGCGCGUCUUGACGGUACCUAAUCAGAAAGCCACGGCUAACUACGUG
rnacentral:rRNA from 1 species